rnacentral:rRNA from 1 species
AUUGAACGCUGGCGGCAUGCUUUACAUACGCAAGUCGAACGGUAACAGGGAGCUUGCUCCGCUGACGAGUGGCGAACGGGUGAGUAAUGCGUCGGAACGUGCCGAGUAGUGGGGGAUAACGCAUCGAAAGGUGUGCUAAUACCGCAUACGAACUGAGGUUGAAAGUGGGGGACCUUCGGGCCUCACGCUAUUCGAGCGGCCGACGUCUGAUUAGCUAGUUGGUGAGGUAAAGGCUCACCAAGGCGACGAUCAGUAGCGGGUCUGAGAGGAUGAUCCGCCACACUGGGACUGAGACACGGCCCAGACUCCUACGGGAGGCAGCAGUGGGGAAUUUUGGACAAUGGGCGCAAGCCUGAUCCAGCCAUGCCGCGUGUCUGAAGAAGGCCUUCGGGUUGUAAAGGACUUUUGUCCGGGAGCAAAUGCUGGUGGCUAACAUCCACCGGAGCUGAGAGUACCGGAAGAAUAAGCACCGGCUAACUACGUGCCAGCCGCCGCGGUAAUAC